GGCCUUCCUGCGCAACGGCCCGGCGAUGAUCUCGUUCGUCAUGGCCAACAGCCCGCUGCGGUUCCGCUUCAUGGAGGGCUAC
rnacentral:tRNA from 1 species